rnacentral:rRNA from 1 species
UACGGAGGGGGCUAGCGUUGUUCGGAAUCACUGGGCGUAAAGCGCACGUAGGCGGCUUUUUAAGUCAGGGGUGAAAUCCUGGAGCUCAACUCCAGAACUGCCUUUGAUACUGAGAAGCUUGAGUACGGGAGAGGUGAGUGGAACUCCGAGUGUAGAGGUGAAAUUCGUAGAUAUUCGCAAGAACACCAGUGGCGAAGGCGGCUCACUGGCCCGGUACUGACGCUGAGGUGCGAAAGCGUGGGGAGCAAACAGG